UACGUAGGUCGCAAGCGUUGUCCGGAUUUACUGGGCGUAAAGAGCGCGCAGGCGGCUGGUCAAGUCCGAUGUGAAAUCUCCCGGCUUAACUGGGAAACUGCAUCGGAAACUGAUCGGCUUGAAGGUGGGAGAGGGUAGUGGAAUUCCCGGUGUAGUGGUGAAAUGCGUAGAUAUCGGGAGGAACACCGGUGGCGAAGGCGGUCUUCUGGACGGUGACUGACGCUGAGGCGCGAAAGCGUGGGGAGCAAACGGG
rnacentral:rRNA from 1 species